rnacentral:tRNA from 1 species
CGAGUGGAGGCGGUCGGCUUCGGCGAUCGCCUCGGCCGCCUGCCGGGCAUCGCCGCGCAACGCGGCGGCCUGCGCCCGUUCGGCCUGGGCCCACCCGGC